UCGACAAGGUUACUGGAACGGGGCCGUUCGGCAGGAUAACGCCGGCUGACGUGGAGGCAGCGGCGGGUAUUACUCCUACCAAACCUGUGGCUACGAAGCCUGCUCCAGUAGCGGCUGCUGCUCCUGCUAAACCUGCUACUACUCUAUCAGCUCCUCCACUUCCAGGGUCUACGGUUGUACCGUUUACUACAAUGCAAGCGGCGGUGUCGAAAAAUAUGGUGGACAGCCUUUC
rnacentral:lncRNA from 1 species